UACGUAGGGACCGAGCGUUGUCCGGAUUCAUUGGGCGUAAAGAGCUCGUAGGCGGCUAUUCAAGUCGAACGUGAAAUCUCGGAGCUCAACUCCGAAACUGCGUUCGAUACUGGGUAGCUAGAGUCUGGUAGGGGGAUCUGGAAUUCCCGGUGCAGCGGUGAAAUGCGUAGAUAUCGGGAGGAACACCUGUGGCGAAGGCGGCCCCCUGGUUGGAUACUGACGCUGAUACGCGAAAGCGUGGGGAGCAAACAGG
rnacentral:rRNA from 1 species